GUUCCUACGGGAGGCAGCAGUGGGGAAUAUUGCACAAUGGGGGAAACCCUGAUGCAGCGACGCCGCGUGAGUGAAGAAGUAUUUCGGUAUGUAAAGCUCUAUCAGCAGGGAGGAUAAUGACGGUACCUGAGUAAGAAGCCCCGGCUAACUACGUGCCAGCAGCCGCGGUAAUACGUAGGGGGCAAGCGUUAUCCGGAUUUACUGGGUGUAAAGGGAGCGUAGACGGCAUAGCAAGUCUGAUGUGAAAGAUCGGGGCUCAACCCCGGGCCUGCAUU
rnacentral:rRNA from 1 species